GGGACGAUGAAGGAGCGAUGGGCUGGUCACUGAAGAGGUUCUCACACAUCAGGCUUCGGCACAACUUCUUGAGGAAGCGCAGAACAUAACCUACACUGUUGACCACUGGCAAACUCAACAGAUGCUGUUUACCAUCAAAGCCCUCUGUAAGCAAGGUGAAGACGGAUUUCUGUUGAAACGCGCUGUCAAUGCAGCCCUGUACCGCCUGCUGCAACACCACAGAGGGCCUGGCGGGACCCAAGUGAUCCGGCAGUUGCAGCACCUUCUGCCUGUCCAGUCAUGGAUGAUAUUGUCAAACUGAAUGGGCAGUACAUACCCCAAAGAUUGAAAUCUUCACUGGCUACGUUCACACAGACUGAGUUGAGGACUGACAGAUCUAUGAUUGAAGUCUUGUCACAACUGACACAACAAUUUUUGCAUGCUUAAUAUGACAGACAAGCAACUGAUAUGGACUCUCUCUAGAGAGAGAGAGAGAGAGAGAGAGAGAGAGAUGGAGAAUAAGCAUGCAAAACAUUUUUGUAGUUUAAUUAGAAUAGAUGUUGUCUUAAAUAACAGAAAAAUAUAUAGUCUUGUUCUAAUAAAGACAGUGUUGUUGGUCUUUUCUCACCCCUGAGGCAUACAUCUCAUCAUAUCGUCUUGAUAAAAAAUAACAGUUAUCAUAAUUCUGAUAUAUGGGUAGAGUUACAGUCCCUACGGAACACUAAAAAGAGAAUGAGACAGCACUGAGUCAUAAUGUAACUCCUCUGAGGACAGUGAUUCUUCUAAUGCUCACAUUUUAUUAUUCCCUUAAAGGUGCUCUAAGCGAUGUCACACGUUUUUAGGCCAAAACAUUUUUUGUCACAUACAGCAAACAGCUCCUCACUAUCCGCUAGCUGCCUGUCCCCUGA